UUUUAUAUCGCGCUUCUUUGAAAUUCAAUAUAAGAAUGGUAACAACGUGCACGAUUUACAAAAUAAUUAAUUUUUAUUUCUAUUUCUGUGCCGGUGAAAUCAGGAAGAUAAUGAUAAUAGUGGUAAUGAUAACACAAUCUGAUAAACUAUAAUCUAACUAACGGGUGCGAAUGCUAGUAGUGUAAAAGUAGUACAUUUCCGCGAUUCAAUUCAUUUGAAUAUAUUCACUUAAUUAAUGUUAAAUAGCAACGUGGGUUCGUUAAGAAGGAUACCAAAACAUUAGCAAGAAGUUAUUGGCUUGGUUGAUGAUCACUUGAUUUGAUAAUAAUCUUCGUUGGAAUCGAGGAAAGUAUAUUAAAUGAAAAAAAUUUCAGAAUCCAUAGAUACACGAUGAUAAUCGUAGAAUUUUAAAAAUGAAUUUCAUGGGAUAAGAAACGUAUCGUGUAACUGAAAAUAUGUGCUAGAUACAUAUUUUGUUCACAUGAGAUCCAGAUCAAUCAGGAUAAAAUAAGAAAAUCAAAUAUUUAAUUUAUUACGUAAAAGAGAUUCAAAUGAAAAGUAGAUAAAUUUCAUAAAUAUUUAUUAUCAACUUAUGCAACUUAGGACAUUAAACAAAAUUUAUGCAUUAAAAAUAAUAUCGAAUAAUAGAAAAAAUAAUAAACAAGUAAUAUUAGUUUUAUAUUAUUUUUUAUCUUUUGUUAAAAUAUAAGUUCUAUUACAUAAUUAUUAUUUUGUAUUUAAGAAAAUCUAAUAUAAUAUGAUUUUUUAAAAUAUCUUACAUGACAAUUAACGAAUAGGAAAUAAGAUAUUUUAAUUUUGCUCUUUAAAUUGAUAUUGUAGAGGUUUCUAUGCAAUCCUCGUUGAUAGCACGACGUAAUUAAUAUUAACAGAGAAAACAGAGUACAGUAUGCUUAAUAAAUCUUUAUUAUGUGCUCGUGAAGCAAGAACUGACCUGCCGCUAUUCUCAGAUCUACAUCGUCACAGUUUCAUUACCAGCAAUUAUGCAAUGUGAAAUAAGAUAAUUUGUGAAUUUUUUUCGCGAUCAACGCUAAAGAAUAAACAUUAGAAUAAACGCAAAGAAAAGUAAAUACGCUGAACUCAUUUUGAACAAUUUUACAUCUUAAUCUUUUUAAAAUAAUAAUAAUGAAUAUAAUAACAACAACAAUAAUAACAGUACUAAAAAAUCUAAAAAUUUAAUUAUCAUUCCAAUUUCAUUUCUACGAUAUUCCAUUAAUGCUACCUCAAUAUUGAACUGUAAAAUAUUUCCUAUUUUAUCUAGAAUACUCGAUAAUAAAUAAGGUAAAUCAUUCGUUUUACAAUGAUAUUGCGUAAAAAAACAGUUCGUGUAUAUAAUCAUAUUUAUAUCAUUUACUGGUGUAUGAUUAUUUAGCUAAGAGAAUGGGCAUCGUUACGUUGUUGCAAAGCUGCGUUGAUGCUAAGGUAACGGUCUACCUGUGCCCGCCUCCAAACUGUACAAAAGACUCCGUUCUUUUUCGAGCGUAAUUAACCCGUGUCUUCGAUACGGUUGGAACAUUUUCGGGACAUUUUCACAAAGCAAAAAGUAAACGGAGUACUAAACGGAGAAAUCCGUUUGAUUUCGUAUUUUUGCGCGGUCAUCCUUGUCCCGAUUGAACAUUUUAUUCAUUAAUAUCGAACUCUUACUCUUGUUGCUGAUUUUAUUGUCUUUCGUUCGAUUUUUAUUCCAUCGCGAAGAAUGAAAUAUCUACGUGUUUUUGAAAAUGUUGUAUCAAAAUGAGUUUAUUUUUACUUUCGAUUUGAGCACGCGUGCACGGUUGGCUGAUGAUCUAACAGGAUGUUAAUUUUUUGGAUCACUAACUACAUUGAAUUCCAACUGUACGGAACAACAGCUCGAUGGAAUUUGUUUCGAGGAAUACCGACACUGUAGAAUUUUUAACUUUGUUCAAAAUUAUGUGAAAUAUUUCGUAUCACAGCUUUCCUUCGGCUAACUAAACUGGUAAAAUAGUUUUCGCAAAAUAACGAAAUGCUUGGCAUAGGAAUUCCAAAGAACAUCGAUCCAAGGAAUUUCAACUUCACAGAACAUUAGCUCCGCGAGAUUUUGUAGAGUAAUGGCCUUCACGGAUAUUUCAAGUGCGCGUACUCGAUGUUAUAUUUUAUAUAUCGGAUAAAAUUUCGAUUUCGAAACGCAUUUAUCCUUCUUAAAUUCUAAAGAAUCCUUCUCAUCCAAGUCGCAAAAUAAAUAUUUCAAUUAGCAUAAACGUUCACAGAAUCGUAUAAAACGGUAUAUUAAUUAUACUUGUGUAAUUAACGUCUUCAAUCCAAUAUCAAAAUCAAUUUAUCCCGAAUAAAAACUUUUACUGUCGUACCUUCGUGGAACGCGAUACAAGCAUCGUAGAAUUGCGUGAAAAAUUCGAUAUCGGAAAGCACAAUUCGCUAAAUAAAUUCGACGCAGCAAACAGUUCCGCGAUUGCACCAGCGGUGACGGACACUGUCGUUUUAGAUCGUCGUUUCACCGCAAAUUGUCUGAAUAUUUUAGAGCAGGGGAACCGGUUGCAGCGACGUCUAUGAUAAAGCGUAUAUAAUUCCCUUGUCGACGAGUUGCGUUAUAGGUGAAGGUUACCGAGUUCGUGACGUUCGUCGCUUGAUAAUAAAUAAAACCGAAAAGCGAGAAAAAGAAGUGUUAGCGUGCGGCAUGCGUAACGUGUGUGUCAUUGCGAGCGCGAGAAAUGCUUGAUUUUUGCAUGACUUGAACGAAAUGUCGUCGCAUGAUCGAGAGUGACUGGAAUCUGCAACGAUCACAAGUGUCAAUUUUAUAGUGUUAUAUAAUUAAAUGUAUUUCAAUGAUAAUUUAAAUAUUUAUUACGAUAGGAACAGAGAUAUUGAUAUUGCCAAUAAAUGGACCUGUAUGGAGAUUUAUCGUUGCACAGGUUUUUUCUUGAGUUUAACGUUUUUUAUUUUUUGGAUAGUUAAAAAUUAAAUAGAGUAUUAAUUAUUUAUAUUGAUAUCGUGGCAAAUCGACCUGUAUACAAAUUUAUUAUUGCACAGGUGUAUAAUGUAGUAGAUUUUGAUGAAAUUAAAUACAGUAAAUAUGUGA